GAUGAACGCUGGCGGCGUGCUUAACACAUGCAAGUCGAACGAUGAAGCCCAGCUUGCUGGGUAGAUUAGUGGCGAACGGGUGAGUAACACGUGAGUAACCUGCCCUUAACUCUGGGAUAAGCCUGGGAAACUGGGUCUAAUACCGGAUAGGAGCGUCCACCGCAUGGUGGGUGUUGGAAAGAUUUAUCGGUUUUGGAUGGACUCGCGGCCUAUCAGCUUGUUGGUGAGGUAAUGGCUCACCAAGGCGACGACGGGUAGCCGGCCUGAGAGGGUGACCGGCCACACUGGGACUGAGACACGGCCCAGACUCCUACGGGAGGCAGCAGUGGGGAAUAUUGCACAAUGGGCGAAAGCCUGAUGCAGCGACGCCGCGUGAGGGAUGACGGCCUUCGGGUUGUAAACCUCUUUCAGUAGGGAAGAAGCGAAAGUGACGGUACCUGCAGAAGAAGCACCGGCUAACUACGUG
rnacentral:rRNA from 1 species